UCUUCGGAGACUUGUAUUCCGUGUGUCCUUGGGUGGUCAGUGCGGGCAAGUUGUCUGGGAUGACGCGCCAUGGAGGGUGAGAGCCCCGUCCAACCCGCACAGGAUCCAUUCGUACGAGGACACUUCAAACUGAGUCGGGUAGCUUGGGAAUGCUGCUCUAAUUGGUGGUAAAUCUCAUCAAAGGCUAAAUAAAAGUGGGAGACCGAUAGCGAACAAGUACCGUGAGGGAAAGAUGGAAAGUACUUUGAAAAGAGAGUGAAAAGCACUUGAAACCGUCAUGGGGGAAGCGAAUUGCGUUAGUGAUGGAUUGGCCUGUUCAGCUCAAAAUAUUUAUUGAGUGUAUUCUGGCUUUUCCGCGCUUGUGUGGCUGGUGCGAGUACAAGGAGGGUGUGAAGGGGGGAAUUUUUGUUUUUCUGUUCUACAUCAUUUGUCGGUACUUUGCGCUGGUGAGGGCUCCCCGCAAGGGUGAGGACACGAGCGAAAUGACGCAAUACGACCCGUCUUGAAACACGGACCAAGGAGUCUAGCACGGCUGCGAGUCGAAGGGUAAUUUUUUAUGAAAAACCUAGAGGGCGCAGUGAAAGCAACUAUGUUGGAGCAAUCUAACGACAAAGCAAAUUGGGGAGGCGUUGCGGUUUUACCAACAUGUCCUACCUUGAGCAUCUGUGCUGGGACCCGAAAGAUGGUGAACUAUGCCGGAGUAGGGCAAAGCCAGAGGAAACUCUGGUGGAGGCUCGUAGCGAUGCUGACGUGCAAAUCGCUCGUCGAACUUGGGUAUAGGGGCGAAAGACUAAUCGAACCAUCUAGUAGCUGGUUCCCUCCGAAGUUUCUCUCAGGAUAGCGGGCCGACACAUUUUUUUUUAAAAGUUGUUUUGUGCGGUAAAGCGAAUGAUUAGUGCAUUUGGGGGCCGAAGGCCUUCAGGCGAUUCUCAAACUUUAAAUGCGCAAGGGGGCGGCUGCUUAAUUUGAGCCUGCUCUUCGAAAAACGUCGGCUCCGUGGGCCACUUUUGGUAAGCAGAACUGGCGAUAAGGGAUGAACCUUAAGCGCGGUUAAGGCGCCGCAUUGCCCGCUUAUAGACCCCACAAAAGGUGUUGAUUCAUAUAGACAGCAGGACGGUGGCCAUGGAAGUCGGAAUCCGCUAAGGAGUGUGUAACAACUCACCUGCCGAAUGAAUUAGCCCUGAAAAUGGAUGGCGCUGAAGCGGGCAGCCGACACCGCGCCGUUCAGGCGAGACAACAUGUCUGAAUGAGUAGGAGGGCGUGGCGGUCCGUGACGCAGGCGAGGGUGCAAACCCCGCUGAAACGGCCGCUAGUGCAGAUCUUGGUGGUAGUAGCAAAUAUUCAAGCGAGAUCCUUGAAGGGCGAAGCGGGGAAGGGUUCCAUGCGAACAUUGAUUGGGCGUGGGUGAGUC
rnacentral:rRNA from 1 species